AAAAAGUAUGAACAAUUUGCGCAUAUAAAGGAAAAAUAGUAACACAAUAAUAUAACAAUAGCGAGGCUAUAUACAAGGGGUACCGGUAACGAGUCAACGUGCAGGAUUACGGGUUAGUCGAGUGGAUCUCUCCUGGAGGAGAUGGUCUCCGAAGAUAACAGGCUUCACACUGAUCAACGGAAUGAUAAACCCAGUUCAUUAACAGUGCUCACAAUGAGAUGUUGCAAAACAUUGUCCGCGACAGUGUGCAACCAAGGGAGAAAUGCAUUAUCGUGAGUCACCAGGCUGCCCGUUAUGGUGCACACCUGUCACCGUCGUUACGCGCACCUGCGUGUCAUCAGACUCACCUGGACUCCAUCACCUCCUUGAUUACCUGCCCUAUACAUGUCACGCCCUUUGGUUCCUUCCGCAGGCGUUAUUGUUUCUCUUCCUGUGUCAUGUUUGCGCGUUAUUCGUGUUUCUUAUUUUGUAUUGUGUUUAUUUAUUAAAACACUCAC
rnacentral:lncRNA from 1 species